GACGAACGCUGGCGGCGUGCCUAAUACAUGCAAGUUGAGCGCUGAAGGUUGGUACUUGUACCAACUGGAUGAGCAGCGCACGGGUGAGUAACGCGUGGGGAAUCUGCCUUUGAGCGGGGGACAACAUUUGGAAACGAAUGCUAAUACCGCAUAAAAACUUUAAACACAAGUUUUAAGUUUAAAAGAUGCAAUUGCAUCACUCAAAGAUGAUCCCGCGUUGUAUUAGCUAGUUGGUGAGGUAAAGGCUCACCAAGGCGAUGAUACAUAGCCGACCUGAGAGGGUGAUCGGCCACAUUGGGACUGAGACACGGCCCAAACGCAUACGGGAGGCAGCAGUAGGGAAUCGUCGGCAAGGGACGAAAGUCUGACCGAGCAACGCCGCGUGAGGGAAGAAGGGUUUCGGAUCGUAAAACUCGGUUGGUAGAGAAGAACGUUGGUGAGAGUGGAAAGCUCAUCAAGUGACGGUAACUACCCAGAAAGGGACGGCUAACUACGUG
rnacentral:rRNA from 1 species